UGCAGUCGAGCGAUGGAUUGAGAGCUUGCUCUUAUGAAGUUAGCGGCGGACGGGUGAGUAACACGUGGGUAACCUGCCCAUAAGACUGGGAUAACUCCGGGAAACCGGGGCUAAUACCGGAUAACAUUUUGAACUGCAUGGUUCGAAAUUGAAAGGCGGCUUCGGCUGUCACUUAUGGAUGGACCCGCGUCGCAUUAGCUAGUUGGUGAGGUAACGGCUCACCAAGGCAACGAUGCGUAGCCGACCUGAGAGGGUGAUCGGCCACACUGGGACUGAGACACGGCCCAGACUCCUACGGGAGGCAGCAGUAGGGAAUCUUCCGCAAUGGACGAAAGUCUGACGGAGCAACGCCGCGUGAGUGAUGAAGGCUUUCGGGUCGUAAAACUCUGUUGUUAGGGAAGAACAAGUGCUAGUUGAAUAAGCUGGCACCUUGACGGUACCUAACCAGAAAGCCACGGCUAACUACGUGCCAGCAGCCGCGGUAAUACGUAGGUGGCAAGCGUUAUCCGGAAUUAUUGGGCGUAAAGCGCGCGCAGUGGUUUCUUAAGUCUGAUGUGAAAGCCCACGGCUCAACCGUGGAGGGUCAUUGGAAACUGGGAGACUUGAGUGCAGAAGAGGAAGUGGAAUUCCAUGUGUAGCGGUGAAAUGCGUAGAGAUAUGGAGGAACACCAGUGGCGAAGCGACUUUCUGGUCUGUAACUGACACUGAGCGCGAAAGCGG
rnacentral:rRNA from 1 species